rnacentral:lncRNA from 1 species
UCGUUUUAUGUACGCUAGAUCCUUAUCUCAAAAAUACUCAUAUAAUCCUCAUUCCAAUCAGGUGGAGCGAGCCCGAUGGAUGACUGGGCUUGAUUUUGGGCUAUUUCGGGAUCGGCCCAAUUGCCACCCCCAUCCGCGGAUGAAACGGCAGUUGUAUUGGCGGCCCGGGUAAACGAUAAGUCGUUGAGGCUGGUUGUGUUGACGACAGGGACUUCGGCUAUCGCCCCAAUCU